rnacentral:lncRNA from 1 species
AUGGGGUUUGAGUUGUGCAGCAGUGUGCCGUUAGUGUUGUUCGGGCUGCAGGAACUUGAACAAGACAGAUAAGGUCCUCCUUAGCACCUUAUGGAGCAAACAGUGGAGAAGUCAUCUGUAAAGAACACCUUUGAUAAUGGCCAGUUUGGACAAAUGGACUUUAAAGAAGUAAUUUCCCGAAGUUUAAUCUCCAACUUUCAACAACAAGGAGCCUUCUCUGGUGAAAUUAAGUUACGAUCGAGCGAGUUCCUCUCUAAAAUACUGGCCUCCUGUGUUAAGGGUCAAGAGUUUACCCGCGAUGACACUCAGCAUGAACAAACAGACCAGCAGUUUGCUAAAAUCGCAAAGGAAUCUCAGGCUGUUCCUGAAACUGGCACAAAUGCGUCUCAUUAUUUAGAUAAAGAAACAAUUGAAAUGCUGCGAAGUGUUUUAUCCAGAAUGGAACUGAAGAAAGACGAAGCUGGAAUGUGGACUCCAUGUGUGGAGACCAAGCCAAGUCCUGACAGAAAUCCUAGUAAGAUUGACCUUAAUCCUAGUAAGACCUUCUUCCAUCUCCCACACAAUGGUAGUCGCUGCAUUCAUUCAAAUGUUAAGAGCGCUGUAGUCAAAGUAGCUCAGAAACCUUCAUCACAGGCCACUUUGACUAGUAAAUCAAAGGAAAAGGACAGGGAUCGAAGUGAUGGGAGUCUGCCGUUUAAAUCAAAGCAGCUUGACUUUUUGGAAGCUUUGAAAGAGAAGCUAAAGCAGAAAGAUCUGGAGAAUCAACAGAUUGUGCAGCUACUACUGAUAGCACAGCAAGAACUGAAGGAUGCCAAAAAGAUGUCAAAAGUGAAGGAAGUGGAGGCCCGGAUAAUUGUUCAAAAGCUGAAAUAUGAAGAGCUGAAAAAUGCUGAGCUCGCCAAGAAACUCAACAAUGCUUGUGAGGAUAUGAGGGAGAAACUGUGCGAAGCUAAAGACAACAAUGAAAGCUUUGUUAAGCAACUCAAAGCACUGCUGGAAAAGUAUGAGCGGCUCAAAAAACGAGCCAAUGCUAUCAAGCAGCAGCUUCUUGAGGAACGUGCUAAGAAACAGAGUGCUCAGAAAAGUGUAAAGAAGGUGCAACAGAUGGCUGAAGAACUUUUAAGCAGCCAGGAUUUUCUGGAGAAACAGCGGGAUGCUGCAGUAAAAGAGCUGUCAGAUUGUCGGAGGAAAUUGCAGACCAUGGAAGAGGAACACAAGAAGCAUGUUAGCAUUGUGCAACGAGUUAAGGGGGAGGCAUCAGCUAUCAGAUCUGAGUAUCUGAACCUUAGAGAGGAGCUAUCUAAGACUCAGGAAGAGAACAAGAAGCUCAAAGACGAGGUUCAAUCCAAAGAUUUGGAAAAAGACAAGGCUGUGGGCGAUUUUCAAGAAUGUAAAAACGUGGUUAAAAAGCUGUACGCAGAGCUGGAUGAGAGCAAACUCCAAAAAGAAUCAAUUUAUCAAGAACUGGAAGCCAUGAAGAAGGAAUUCAACCUAAUUCACAACAAACACAAAGUGGAGAACCUUCAUCUCCAAGAAGAAAAGAAGGCCUGCAUGAAACAGUUCGAAGGUGUAAGAAUGGAACGUGAAGCCUUAAAAGAAGUUGUGUCCAAACUCAAAAAAGACAAGCAGCUGCUUAAAGAAGAGCUGGAACGCCUUCAGAAGGAAAAGGCCAGGGCUGAGACAGCUAGUCACCGUGAAGGCCAGAGGAUGAGGGAGGCUGUAAGGCUGCUGGAGCGAGAGAGGACACUCCUAUUGGAUGAAAUGAAAGACUUGAGGAAGGAUUACUUCAACCUCAGUGAUCGCAUCACACAGAGGAUUGGACAACUGGACCAGGCUGAUGCUCCCAUGUGCAUCACUGAUAUAUCAUCGAUAUUUCACCAGAAUCAAGCAUCAAAUGUGGAUAAUACAGUUGUCUCAGUUGCAUCAAGUGUGGACAUGAUACAACAUAUACGGAGGAAACUGGAGGAAGAGGAGAACAACCUGCAGAAAUGAACAUCUACCAACAGUUCCUCAUUUUUUUUUUAGAAUUUGAUUUUACCCAUAAGAGCCCAUAUCCAUUUCUAAACGGAUGAUGCCAAACUUAAAACUGAAUCCGAUCAAUUUAGUGAGCAACUAAUUCAUGUUUUUUUUUUUAUUGUGGGAACAUGACUGUAUUUAUUUUAGGGUUAAAUACCAGAUGUAACAUAAAUUACAACAAUUUUAUAUAAUUAGAUUUUAACAUUUUGUUGUAGAAAUCAGGUCAGAACUAGUUAUAUAGAACAUAAAACGUGUAAUUAAAGCAUUUAAAUUGUUAAAAUGGCUGGAACAGAUCUGUAGAGGAAAAAAAUUAAAAGGGGCUUAUUUUUAUCUUAAUAAAAACUUACUCAGAUCUCA